AGAUUAAGUUAUUAAGGGCGCACGGUGGAUGCCUUGGCACUAGAAGCCGACGAAGGACGUUACUAACGACGAUAUGCUUUGGGUAGCUGUAAGUAAGCGUUGAUCCAGAGAUUUCCGAAUGGGGGAACCCAGCACGAGUUAUGUCGUGUUAUCGACAAGUGAAUUCAUAGCUUGUCAGAAGGCAGACCCGGAGAACUGAAACAUCUUAGUACCCGGAGGAAGAGAAAGAAAAAUCGAUUCCCUGAGUAGCGGCGAGCGAAACGGGAAGAGCCCAAACCAAUAAGCUUGCUUAUUGGGGUUGUAGGACACUCUAUACGGAGUUACAAAGGAAUAUAUUAGACGAAUCAUCUGGAAAGUUGAAUCAAAGAAGGUAAUAAUCCUGUAGUUGAAAAUAUAUUCUCUCUUGAGUGGAUCCUGAGUACGACGGAGCACGUGAAAUUCCGUCGGAAUCUGGGAGGACCAUCUCCUAAGGCUAAAUACUCUCUAGUGACCGAUAGUGAACCAGUACCGUGAGGGAAAGGUGAAAAGUACCCCGGAAGGGGAGUGAAAGAGAACUUGAAACCGUGUGCUUACAAGUAGUCAGAGCCCGUUAAUGGGUGAUGGCGUGCCUUUUGUAGAAUGAACCGGCGAGUUACGAUCUGAUGCAAGGUUAAGCAGGAGAUGUGGAGCCGUAGCGAAAGCGAGUCUGAAUAGGGCGUUGAGUAUUUGGUCGUAGACCCGAAACCAGGUGAUCUACCCAUGGUCAGGUUGAAGUUCAGGUAACACUGAAUGGAGGACCGAACCGACUUACGUUGAAAAGUGAGCGGAUGAACUGUGGGUAGCGGAGAAAUUCCAAUCGAACUUGGAGAUAGCUGGUUCUCUCCGAAAUAGCUUUAGGGCUAGCCUCAAGUGAUGAUUAUUGGAGGUAGAGCACUGUUUGGACGAGGGGCCCCUCUCGGGUUACCGAAUUCAGACAAACUCCGAAUGCCAAUUAAUUUAACUUGGGAGUCAGAACAUGGGUGAUAAGGUCCGUGUUCGAAAGGGAAACAGCCCAGACCACCAGCUAAGGUCCCAAAAUAUAUGUUAAGUGGAAAAGGAUGUGGCGUUGCCCAGACAACUAGGAUGUUGGCUUAGAAGCAGCCAUCAUUUAAAGAGUGCGUAAUAGCUCACUAGUCGAGUGACACUGCGCCGAAAAUGUACCGGGGCUAAACAUAUUACCGAAGCUGUGGAUUGUCCGUAGGA
rnacentral:rRNA from 1 species